AUUUAUCAAUAAAGUUUACUUUUUAUUCCAAAUAGAAGAUGACAUUGAAACAACAAACACAAACAUCUAACAUUACAACAACAAUUACUAAAGCAAAAACACAUACUGGAACAAGAACAAGUACUAAAACAAGAACAAGUACUACAACAAUAGCAAAUACACAAACAACAUCACAAACAACCCUUAAAAUCUAGGAAAUUACAACAGUUAACACUAUGUCGUCUGAUCCAUGCAUCAUUUGGAUGCAAUUAAUGUCGCUUUCAACUUCAACCCACGAACAUACCGUUUCUCCAGUUUCAAAUGAGAUACUUUUUCUAAGCCUCUGAAUCCUUCUGAUGACUUCACCAGGUUGGUAAUCUCCCUCUAACCAAGACAUCAAUGAUCUUUUUAGUUGGUCCAACGAACGGAUGUUCCAAAAUUUCAUCUCCAUUGGGGGUUUCACAGGUGAGAAAAUAACAUGCCCG
rnacentral:lncRNA from 1 species